rnacentral:rRNA from 1 species
GGGACGAACGCUGGCGGCGUGCCUAACACAUGCAAGUCGAACGGGACCAGGGGCAACUCUGGUUCAGUGGCGGACGGGUGCGUAACACGUGAGGAACAUGACCUUCGGCGGGGGAUAGCCGGCCCAACGGCCGGGUAAUACCGCGUACGACCACAUGGGGACAUCCCUGAGUGGUGAAAGCAGCAAUGCGCCGAUGGAGUGCCUCGCGGCCUAUCAGCUAGUUGGUGAGGUAACGGCUCACCAAGGCAACGACGGGUAGCUGGUCUGAGAGGAUGGCCAGCCACAUUGGGACUGAGACACGGCCCAGACUCCUACGGGAGGCAGCAGGUGGGGAACUAGUUGCGACAAGUGGAACGAAAGUCUAGACGCAGCGACGCGCGUGUGGGAUGACGGUCUUCGGAUUCGAAACCUACGUGGUCGGAAGGACG